rnacentral:rRNA from 1 species
AUACGUAGGGUGCGAGCGUUGUCCGGAAUUACUGGGCGUAAAGAGCUCGUAGGUGGUUUGUCGCGUCGUCUGUGAAAUUCCGGGGCUUAACUCCGGGCGUGCAGGCGAUACGGGCAUAACUUGAGUACUGUAGGGGAGACUGGAAUUCCUGGUGUAGCGGUGAAAUGCGCAGAUAUCAGGAGGAACACCGGUGGCGAAGGCGGGUCUCUGGGCAGUAACUGACGCUGAGGAGCGAAAGCAUGGGUAGCGAACAGGAUUAGAUACCCUGGUAGUCCAUGCCGUAAACGGUGGGCGCUAGGUGUAGGGGUCUUCCACGACUUCUGUGCCGUAGCUAACGCGUUAAGCGCCCCGCCUGGGGAGUACGGCCGCAAGGCUAAAACUCAAAGGAAUUGACGGGG